AGUGGAACUAUUUGAAAGGACUACAAGGUUCAGGAGGUGGAGGAGUGUUAUUUACCAAGCUGGAAGCUGAGAUUGGUGCACAUUGUCUGCACCUGACUGAAGAGCUAAGGCCUCUGGCUGAUCGCUUGUCUCUUCCACUGUGGGAUUGCAGGCAGGUCAGCACUGCUUGACACAGAAGUCCUUGCUACUACAGGUCGUCU